UUGGAUUGAUUGGAACAGUUUUGACCAGUGUUGCAAACACCAAAAUAUGUUGGAUGCUACGGCUAACGGUUCGAACCAACUGCCUGUCUUGAGGUUCCGUUUGUGAAACUGGUUUUUUAUACACUUAUAAAAUCGAUAUUUUCAUACAUUUCAUUUGCGGGCUAAAACAAACCACUUAUAUUUUCUCCCUAAUACUCAAUGAAUAUCUACUCAAAUGGCGAAACUUUAUCAACAUAAUUAAAAUGAUAUCUGACUGCCAGAGGAAAUUUAUUUGUUUACGCGUUUUUCAACACUUUUUUGUGGUAUUUUCUCUGAAAAAAUCCUUGAUUAACUCAAACCGAAUACAACAGGAGCAAAACCCAUUGGAUCAAACGCCAUUUAAAUGCUUGAAAAAUUUAUAAAUUAUAAUUAAAAAAAUAAUACGUCACGCAACGUGUGUCACGUACCGUUUAACACGUUAGCAUGAAGAGAACAAAAACAAAAACAAAAAAAAAACACACACACAAUUAUGUUUUAAUAAUAACAUUCUGU